AUAUCUCUGUGAGCUUGGAAAGCCUUCUACUGACACGAACAUGUCAGAAAUAAAUACCAGCUGAAUGGUGUUAGACAGGUGAAAAUGCCAAUAAGGGAACUAAUCACCUGCCUGUAAGGGUGAUUUUAAAAGAUGGAGACAUUGCCCAUCAAGAACACCACUGGGAGUCAUCAACUCUGUUCAGACAGGCUGCUGGUAACCAUCAGGAGGGGUUGUAGCCCAGUCACACUCGCUGCUUCACCAUGAGAAGGGAAUUUCCAUUCAGUGUGCGGCAGGAUCAUGGAUUCUCAUGCUGAGAAUAAUCUGUUCACAGAAAGGGACUGUAAAGGAUCCUCCAGGCUGGUGGAGCUGAAGGUACUGUAAGUGCUGGACAGGCUGGCCCCUAUAGAUGAGUCCAAUGGGCCAUGAGGCUCAGAAGGAAAUUUGGCCAUUAUUUCUUCUGACAGGGAUGGAGGCAGCAUGGGGCCCUAGACACUGAGUUACCCACCCUGCCACAAUAAUUCUUCCCGGAAUGCCACCAUUUCUGAGACCAUUUAGCAUUUCGGUGGUUGCUCUG